rnacentral:snRNA from 1 species
AUCUUUGCACAGUGGCAGUAUCGUAGCCAAUGAGGUUCUAUCUGAGGCGCGAUUAUUGCUAAUUGAAAAAAAAAAUACACACA